AAAAGAAGAGAAAUGGAAAGAAGAACAAGCCAAGUGAGUUUGAGAGAAAAGCAAGAGGUGGAGAAGAGAAUCCAACCAAGACAAGGUUUCUCAGGUUAUGUGUUUAUGGUCGAGUUGUCGGCGAAGCUCCGCUCUGAUUGUGACACGGGGAAGGGUUUAUCGAGUCUUGUACUUGUAUUCUUAUUUUAUUGUAAAUGUAUUAUUUUAGAAAACAAUUUUUAUUAAGCGAGGUUUAUGCUAAUUAGCAAUGUUCUUGAA